rnacentral:tRNA from 1 species
GGAGAUGUGUCUGAGUGGUUUAAGGUGCUUGCUUGGAAAGUAAGUUUGGAGUCAAAUCCAACAUAGGUUCGAAUCCUAUCAUCUCCG